rnacentral:rRNA from 1 species
UACGAAGGGAGCUAGCGUUGUUCGGAAUCACUGGGCGUAAAGCGCACGUAGGCGGAUUUGUCAGUCAGGGGUGAAAUCCCGGGGCUCAACCUCGGAACUGCCUUUGAUACAGCAAGUCUUGAGUUCGAGAGAGGUGGGUGGAAUUCCUAGUGUAGAGGUGAAAUUCGUAGAUAUUAGGAAGAACACCGGUGGCGAAGGCGGCCCACUGGACCGGCAUUGACGCUGAGGUGCGAAAGCGUGGGGAGCAAACAGG